rnacentral:SRP_RNA from 1 species
UACUACCCGGGGAGAUAGCGGUGCCCUGUACCCGCAAUCCGCUGCAGCGGGGGGAAAAGGCCAUUCUGAGGACAGUAUUUGUGUCGCUGCGCGACCGGAAAGCCGUUGAGAAGCGGGUCCCGCUCAAUUCGCUCCUGUGAACCAUGUCAGGUGGGGGACCAAGCAGCAUUAAGCAGACCUGCGGAUGUGUUGCGGGGACGCCUGCUUUGAGGUGGA